rnacentral:rRNA from 1 species
GUGUCAGCCGCCGCGGUAAUACAGAGGGUGCAAACGUUGCUCGGAAUCAUUGGGCGUAAAGCGCACGUAGGCGGUCCGAUAAGUGGGGAGUGAAAGCCCUCGGCUUAACCGAGGAAGUGCUUUCCAAACUGUCGGACUUGAGUACCCAAGAGGAUCGCGGAAUUCCCGGUGUAGAGGUGAAAUUCGUAGAUAUCGGGAGGAACACCAGCGGCGAAGGCGGCGAUCUGGGGGGAUACUGACGCUGAGGUGCGAAAGCGUGGGGAGCAAACAGGAUUAGAUACCCGCGUAGUCC